rnacentral:tRNA from 1 species
GGAAGUGCAUGCGGGCUGGUGUCCGUCCGGGACUUCAAAUCCUGCGGGUCUGCCUCUGGUGGACCGGUCGGUUCGAUUCCGACACACUUCCGCCA